CCUAGAGUAUGCCCAGACCAGUCUUAUUUUAUAUCUGAAAGUAAAGAACCAGUGCUGGGAACAAAACACAAGGGAAAUGUGCUAAUUGUAAAUUGUGUCCCACAAGCCCCUAUAAUAAUAACUGAACAUUUUAAUGUAAGAGAAAUGCCUACUAGCUUCUCUAGACAGACAAGGACUAUGUCAAUCACAGACAAAGAUAAUUUCCAGAAAUGGUGGGGAAGUAUGCCAA